UACGUAGGGGGCUAGCGUUGUCCGGGAUCAUUGGGCGUAAAGAGCGUGUAGGCGGCCCGGUACGUCCGCUGUGAAAGUCGGGGGCUCAACCCUCGAAUGCCGGUGGAUACUGUCGGGCUAGAGUGCGGAAGAGGCGAGUGGAAUUCCAGGUGUAGCGGUGAAAUGCGUAGAUAUCAGGAGGAACACCAAUGGCGAAGGCAGCUCGCUGGGACGUGACUGACGCUGAGCUGCGAAAGCUAGGGGAGCAAACAGG
rnacentral:rRNA from 1 species